AUGCGCCUAUCGUCCCAGCGCUUUGCCGCCGGGACAAUGGGAAUGCACGGCGGGACAAGCUGGCGCCGACGGACGCAAGAAGCCGUCGCCAUGGUGCUUGCUCUGGCUACGCUAGCAGCUCUUGCUACCGCGGGAGAGCAACAAGAGACGACGGCCUCCAGGGUUCUCGGCGGCAACGUCACGGUCGUCUCGUCGACGGAGGCGUCAGGCGUGAACAUCACCGCCAUCUGCUCGUCGACGCCGUACCCGGCCGCGUGCCGGACGGCGCUGUCCUCGUCGGCGUCGGGGGCGGCCAAGGACCCCUUCGAGGCCUCCGUGCAGUUUGCCAUGGCCCGGGCUGCGUCGGCGCGCGCGCUGGCGCGCAACCUCUCGUCAGCAUCGUCCGAUCGCCGGGGCGCGCUGCCGCCCUCCGGCAUGGACGACUGCGCCGAGCUGCUCGACGUCAGCCACGGCCAGCUCGGCGACGCGCUCGCGGCCAGCUCCGCGCACGACGCGUCCACGUGGCUCAGCGCCGCGCUCACGAACCAGGACACCUGCGCCGACAGCCUCGACGCCGUGCCGGCCUCCGCGGGGCGCGAGGGCGUGCGGCGGCGGGUCGGCGCGCUCGCGGAGUUCAUCGGCACCGCCCUGGCGCUGCACGCCAAGCUCAAGGGUGGGAGCGCGACGCCACCGCCAUCCACCGCGCCGAACCAGGCGUUCCCGUCCUGGGUCUCCCACCACGACAGGAAGCUCCUGGACUCCGCCGCGGGCGGCGUGACGCCGGACGCCGUGGUGGCGCUGGACGGCAGCGGGACGCACGGGACCAUCGGCGACGCGAUCGACGCCGUGACGGCGGCGGCAACGGUGCCGGUGGGCUCCUCCAAGGCGGGCGUCGGAGCAAGCAGGAAGGUGAUCUACGUGAAGGCCGGGCGGUACGAGGAGAGCGUGCGGAUCUCGAGCAGGCAGAGGAACGUGAUGCUGAUGGGCGACGGCAAGGGGAAGACGGUCAUCGUCGGACACAGGAGUGUCGCCGACGGCUACACCACCUACGCCUCCGCCACUGUCGCUGCAAUGGGCUCGGGCUUCAUAGCCAAGGGCCUGACCAUCAUCAACGACGCCGGACCGGGCAAGGGCCAGGCGGUGGCGCUGCGGGUCGGUGGGGACCUCUCCGUUGUGUACCAAUGCGACAUCGAGGCGUACCAGGACACACUCUAUACGCACUCCAACCGCCAGUUCUACGCCGAGGACGGCAUCUCCGGCACGGUGGACUUCAUCUUCGGCAACUCCGCAGUGGUCAUCCAAAACUGCGAUAUCCAUCCCCGAAAGCCCCGCCAGGGCCAGAAGGACACGAUCACGGCCCAGGGCCGAACUGACCCAAACCAGAGCACCGGCAUCUCCAUCCACAAGUGCCGGAUCGCCGCCGUGUCAGAUCUAGGUGGCACGAAGGUGUAUCUGGGCCGUCCGUGGAAGGCGUACUCACGGACUGUCGUGAUGGAGAGCUCUCUCGACCGCUCGAUCACCCCGGCCGGGUGGCUGGAGUGGUCGGGCCAGUUCGCACUCAGCACGUUGUACUACGGGGAGUAUGGGAACACCGGGGCUGGCGCUGGGACAAGCGGGCGGGUGGAGUGGGGUGGAGUGCACACGUCACUGUCCACCGUGGAGGCCACACGGUUCACGGUGAGGGAUUUUAUCUUGGGAGACUCAUGGUUGGGUGACACCGGAGUGAGCUACACUUCAGGGCUAUGA
rnacentral:rRNA from 1 species